UAAUGAGUGUUUAUGGCACUUUUAAAAAUCCAUACCCACCUUGUGUGCAUCGUUAGUUAUGUUCCUUGUUCUCUCUUGAGAGGACGAGGAGGCAGACUUCAAAUUAAUCUAUCUUUAACCAGUUUGUCUGAAGCAAUGUAUCAUGAGUUAACAUAAUUCAAAAUA
rnacentral:misc_RNA from 1 species